rnacentral:rRNA from 1 species
GACGAACGCUGGCGGCGUGCCUAAUACAUGCAAGUCGAACGCACUCUCGUUUAGAUUGAAGGAGCUUGCUCCUGAUUGAUAAACAUUUGAGUGAGUGGCGGACGGGUGAGUAACACGUGGGUAACCUGCCCUAAAGUGGGGGAUAACAUUUGGAAACAGAUGCUAAUACCGCAUAAAACCUAACACCGCAUGGUGUAGGGUUGAAAGAUGGUUUCGGCUAUCACUUUAGGAUGGACCCGCGGUGCAUUAGUUAGUUGGUGAGGUAAAGGCUCACCAAGACCGUUGAUGCAUAGCCGACCUGAGAGGGUAAUCGGCCACACUGGGACUGAGACACGGCCCAGACUCCUACGGGAGGCAGCAGUUAGGGAAUCUUCCACAAUGGACGAAAGUACUGAUGGAGCAACGACCG